rnacentral:rRNA from 1 species
UACGUAGGGGGCAAGCGUUGUCCGGAAUCAUUGGGCGUAAAGCGCGUGUAGGCGGCUCGAUAAGUCUGCUGUGAAAGUUCAGAGCUCAACCCUGAAAUGCCGGUGGAAACUGUCGAGCUAGAGUCCGGAAGAGGCGAGUGGAAUUCCUGGUGUAGCGGUGAAAUGCGCAGAUAUCAGGAGGAACACCAAUGGCGAAGGCAGCUCGCUGGGACGGUACUGACGCUGAGACGCGAAAGCGUGGGGAGCAAACAGG